AUAUAGAAGGCUUAUGAUGGCAAGACAACUACAAACAACAAAUCGAAGCGGUAUUGCAACAAAUCCUGAAGUGAAGAUGAUUAUAGUCGACGACAUGCUUUCAAUCUCAUCCUUAAUAAUCAAGGUUCGCGGCGCAGCUAGUUUUUAAAUACAUUUGUAAUUAUUUUUCAAAAUUGUAUGUAAUUUAGUAUAAUUUAAUUUUGUUUUAAAUUCAACGCUAAUAAUGUAUUUGCACUUAAAAAACAAUAUCUGUCUGUUAAAAUGUAACUUCUUGUUUUUGAAUAAAUAAAAAAGAUAUUAAAUGUA